rnacentral:lncRNA from 1 species
UUAGUUUUGAAGUGGUGGGUUUGAAAGUUGGUAAUUAUAAUACCCCUUCGGUGAGUAGAGUAGUUGCGAUGGUUUGAAAGAACAGGGUUACGACAUGAAUCGAUGCGAUAUUACUCAUAGGGUGUGUGAAUAAAUUGAAGGGUGUUGAGUCGUUACCAUAUAUAAUGUGACUUUAAAUAUAAAUAUUCAAAUAAAACGUAUGUUCUUGAGGAGGAAGAUACGUAAGAACUUAUUGUAUAUAAUGUGAUUUACGUUGGUUAUAUUUUGUGUGAACUUAACGCAAAUGCUAUUUACAUUGGUUAUAUUGUGUUGCAAAUUGUAAUCAUAAUAUGACUUUAAAUCUAAAUAUUCACCAAAUUAGAUUUUGUUGAACAAAAUCUACAUAUUCAAAUUAUCGACGCGACUUUUAAACGAAGAGGUAGAAACUUACCCAUAGAAUUUUUAACCAACGCGACUUUUAAACGAAUGGGGUACAAACCUCAAGUUGGUAAGGGGUAUGAAAUAUUUAAAAGUAGUUUGAAGGGUCGUGACUUUUUCUAAGGGGUGAUGUACAUAAAAGUAGUUUGAAAGAUUGUGACUUUUUGAAGGAGUGUGAUGGGUUGUGACUUUUUGUAAAUAUAUGAAGGGUUGUGACUUUUUGUAAGGGUGUGAUAUAUAUAAAAGUAGUUUGAAGGGUUGUGACUUUUUAAAGGGGUGUGAUCCAAGCCAAGGGCGGAUGUAGAAGGGUUUUACGGGUUCCCAGGAACCCAGUCGAUUUGGAAAAAAAAAAACGUUUUUUUUAGUGUAAACUUUGUAUGAUUUGUAAAAAAUUAGUGUAAACCUUGUAUGAUUUGGUAAAAGGAACCCAGUGAAAAAACUGGUUGAAUCCGCCACUGAUCCAAGCCAUUAUGUCUUUGAAAGGGUUUAUAUAUGCAUUUAAUAUAAGUUACGUUUUUUACUUAUUGCAACUCAUUGUAUUACCAUCUACGUGA